rnacentral:tRNA from 1 species
AAAAUCCGUCGACUUUAUAAGUCGGGAGGGUUCAAGUCCCNCCUAUCCCCUGUUCAAGGUNCCUCUAUCCCCAA